UACGGAGGGUGCGAGCGUUGUCCGGAAUCACUGGGCGUAAAGGGCGCGUAGGUGGCGCGACAAGUCAACGGUGAAAGCUCGGCGCUCAACGCCGAGUCGGCCGUCGAUACUGUUGGGCUGGAGCACUGUAGAGGCUCAUGGAAUUCCGGGUGUAGCGGUGGAAUGCGUAGAGAUCCGGAAGAACACCGGUGGCGAAGGCGGUGAGCUGGGCAGUUGCUGACACUGAUGCGCGACAGCGUGGGGAGCAAACGGG
rnacentral:rRNA from 1 species